rnacentral:rRNA from 1 species
AACGAACGCUGGCGGCAUGCCUAACACAUGCAAGUCGAACGAGACCUUCGGGUCUAGUGGCGCACGGGUGCGUAACGCGUGGGAACCUGCCCUUAGGUUCGGAAUAACUCCCCGAAAGGGGUGCUAAUACCGGAUAAUGUCUUCGGACCAAAGAUUUAUCGCCUUUGGAUGGGCCCGCAUUGGAUUAGCUAGUUGGUAGGGUAAAAGCCUACCAAGGCGACGAUCCAUAGCUGGUCUGAGAGGAUGAUCAGCCACACUGGGACUGAGACACGGCCCAGACUCCUACGGGAGGCAGCAGUGGGGAAUAUUGGACAAUGGGCGAAAGCCUGAUCCAGCAAGGCCGCGUGAGUGAUGAAGGCCUUAGGGUUGUAAAGCUCUUUUACCCGGGAUGAUAAUGACAGUACCGGGAGAAUAAGCUCCGGCUAACUCCGU